AUGAACUCAGUUGCGAGACGCAUAUCAAGCUUAUUCAGGCAGUCGGGUUUUGCAACUGAACCUUUUAAUGCUGCUCAGCUUCAGCAAAGCAGAGGCAUACGAGUGCAGGUGUAUAAUGGAAACCUGGAAGGGGCAUUGGCAUUGAUGCAACGUAAGAUGACAUCGAGUGGGAUCGAGAGGAUGAUAAAGAUUGAACAGAGGUUUCAUAUUAAGAACUCGGAGAAGCGUGUGUUAGCGCAAAAGAAUUUGCAGCGUAGGCUUCGAUCGCAGGAUCUUGCUAGGAAACUAAAGGCCAUUAUGAUCAAGAAAGUCAGGGGUCUUUGA